rnacentral:rRNA from 1 species
AUUGAACGCUAGCGGGAUGCCUUACACAUGCAAGUCGAACGGAGUGGCGAACGGGUGAGUAAUGUAUCGGAACGUGCCCAGUAGCGGGGGAUAACUACGCGAAAGCGUAGCUAAUACCGCCCACUAUUGGAGCGGCCGACACCGGUUUAGCUAGUUGGUGGGGUAACGGCCAACCAAGGCGACGAUCCGUAGCUGGUUUGAGAGGACGACCAGCCACACUGGGACUGAGACACGGCCCAGACGCCUACGGGAGGCAGCAGUGGGGAAUUUUGGACAAUGGGGGCAACCCUGAUCCAGCCAUCCCGCGUGUGCGAAGAAGGCCUUCGGGUUGUAAAGCACUUUUGGCAGGAAAGCGGUACCUGCAGAAUAAGCACCGGCUAACUACGUGCCAGCAGCCGCGGUAAUUC